GAAGUGCGAAUGCUGACAUGAGUAACGAUAAGGGGAGUGAAAAACUCCCCCGCCGGAAAUCCAAGGUUUCCUGUCCCAUGCUAAUCAGGGCAGGGUGAGUCGGCCCCUAAGGCGAGGCAGAAAUGCGUAGUCGAUGGAAAACAGGUUAAUAUUCCUGUACUUGUUUAUGUUGCGAUGGAGGGACGGAGAAGGCUAAUCGAGCCAGGCGUUGGUUGUCCUGGUUUAAGGUGGUAGGCUGAGAUCUUAGGUAAAUCCGGGAUCUUAAGGCCGAGAGCCGAUGACGGUGACUCUACGGAGUCCGAAGUCGAUGAUGCCAUGCUUCCAAGAAAAUCUUCUAAGCUUCAGAUAUAAAGAAACCGUACCCCAAACCGACACAGGUGGAUAGGUAGAGAAUACUAAGGCGCUUGAGAGAACUCGGGUGAAGGAACUAGGCAAAAUGGUACCGUAACUUCGGGAGAAGGUACGCCAGUGACUGUGAUGAGACUUGCUCUCUAAGCGGUUAUUGGUCGAAGAUACUAGGUGGCUGCGACUGUUUAUUAAAAACACAGCACUCUGCAAACUCGUAAGAGGACGUAUAGGGUGUGACGCCUGCCCGGUGCUGGAAGGUUAAUUGAUGCGGUUAGCUUCGGCGAAGCUGUUGAUCGAAGCCCCAGUAAACGGCGGCCGUAACUAUAACGGUCCUAAGGUAGCGAAAUUCCUUGUCGGGUAAGUUCCGACCUGCACGAAUGGCGUAACGAUGGCCACACUGUCUCCACCCGAGACUCAGUGAAAUUGAAUUUGCGGUUAAGAUGCCGUAUACCCGCGGCUAGACGGAAAGACCCCGUGAACCUUUACUACAGCUUCACAGUGAACUUUGAAUUGGCUUGUGUAGGAUAGCUGGGAGGCUUUGAAGCGUGGACGCCAGUUCACGUGGAGCCAAGCUUGAAAUACCAGCCUGGUCAAUUUGGGGUUCUAACUCAGGUCCAUUAUCUGGAUCGAGGACACUGUGUGGUGGGUAGUUUGACUGGGGCGGUCUCCUCCCAAAGAGUAACGGAGGAGCACGAAGGUUAGCUAAGCAUGGUCGGACAUCAUGCGGUUAGUGCAAUGGCAUAAGCUAGCUUGACUGCGAGACAGACACGUCGAGCAGGUACGAAAGUAGGUCAUAGUGAUCCGGUGGUUCUGUAUGGAAGGGCCAUCGCUCAACGGAUAAAAGGUACUC
rnacentral:rRNA from 1 species